rnacentral:rRNA from 1 species
AUUGAACGCUGGCGGCAGGCUUAACACAUGCAAGUCGAGCGGGGGAAGGUAGCUUGCUACCGGACCUAGCGGCGGACGGGUGAGUGAUGCUUAGGAAUCUGCCUAUUAAUGGGGGACAACAUCUCGAAAGGGAUGCUAAUACCGCAUACGUCCUACGGGAGAAAGCAGGGGAUCUUCGGACCUUGCGCUAAUAGAUGAGCCUAAGUCGGAUUAGCUAGUUGGUGGGGUAAAGGCCUACCAAGGCGACGAUCUGUAGCGGGUCUGAGAGGAUGAUCCGCCACACUGGGACUGAGACAUGGCCCAGACUCCUACGGGAGGCAGCAGUGGGGAAUAUUGGACAAUGGGGGGAACCCUGAUCCAGCCAUGCCGCGUGUGUGAAGAAGGCCUUAUGGUUGUAAAGCACUUUAAGCGAGGAGGAGGCUACUUUAGUUAAUACCUAGAGAUAGUGGACGUUACUCGCAGAAUAAGCACCGGCUAACUCUGUGCCAGCCGCCGCCGUAA